CUGUGGUAUGGCCUUAGUGAAUGGGUCUGCUGUAUUUUUCUUUCUGUCUACUCAUUUCAGGAUAACAUCUUGUCUCUAACGAGAUGGAAACGUCUGAGGAUGUGCUUGGAUCUAUAAUGAGACCUAAGUUUUUUAUCUUGAAUAAUGGCCCCAGUGUUAUUACUCUAGAGUGACACCAAUCCUUCAAUCUUAGGAAUGA
rnacentral:lncRNA from 1 species